CUGGCAAGUCUUUCACUUAGCAAUUUACCAACAGCAAAGGCCAAAUUGCUGCAACCAAUUCAAAGUUAGCAUCCCUUUUUGUAAAGUCUUUCACCCUUGGGAAAUGUUUGCCAUUUUUGCAAAUCUUUUUUGUGGUUUCUGUUAAGGCACCUCAUCUUCCCUAUGCCCAUUGCGUAUAGUAAUUGUAUAUAAUAACAAAUAAACCAUCUUAUCAUUUUCGAUUAUAUUUGACUGUCUGCGAAAGUUGAUCAUAUUAAAACUUGUUAAAAAGUUAUUGAAAUUUUAGUUUUUUUAAGACCAUACUAGUUAACUUUAUACUGUUACAUAACUUCUGUUCUGAAGUAAUAAAAACAAAUAGUUAAAACAGCUACGAUUAUCAUAGCAAUUGACGAUUUUUUUACAAAUAGACGCGUUUCAGGUUUGUCAUAAUCAAGAAACUCAAACAUUAUAAUCAGAGCGACUGAAACUGUGGAUAAGAACAAAAUAAAUCCAUUUAAAAGAUGACCAAGUAGAAUCAAAUUGUUCUUGUAGUCCAUGAUCACUGGAACUAAAGCCCUAAUGUCCAUAAUUUAAUUGACGAAUUAAUUGGAUCAGGUUUUUUUGGUAGUCUUCCUUCUUUUUUACAGCUUCAUCCAGCAGCUUUUGCAUACGUUGAAUUUCAGCUUUUUGGUCAGUCACAAUAUCAGGUGAGGGCAGAUGGGUAAUAGUGGUCAAAGUUGUUUAAGGAUCCUUCGUUGUUCUUGACAUGCAAAAGAAGACAAAAAUAAUUAGCAUGGUUAUACGUCCUAAUCGUUUGCCUAGCUAUCUUCUUGUCGAUCAUUUAAAUUUUCGUUUGAAUUAAAAUGACUUCGUCUGUUAAAAGAAAUUCCCCCAAAAUGUCAGUACAGUUUCUUUCUGUGUCCAAACCGUCAACAAAUGUACGCAGGAAACAGUUGAGUUUCAUCUCCAUUAUCAAAGUUUUGAAAAGUUUAGCAUGUCUUUUCCAUUUAUUGAAAUUGGAUUGCAACAAAUGCUGCCAUCUUUGCUUUCGAAACCACCCAGAAGGAAUGAAAUGUCAUUCGGUGUAAUUUUGAAUCUUUGGAAAUCUUCAAGCAAUUCAACCUAAUUCAAUACAAUUAAUAAUGAAUUAUGCAAUUACCUAAUUGUUAGUGGAAAAAAUUACCAAAUUCGAUGGCUUGCGAUAUCUUUGGAUGGACGAUAUCUUUGGAUCUUUAUAGAUGGACGAUAUCUUUGAAGGAACUAUCGUGACUUUGUCGUAAUUUUUUCUAUUGUCUGCGGUCAGCAUAUAUGUAAUUUCACAAAUUGGUGAAUAUUUGAUUUCCUUUUCACCUCUCAAAACGCUGGUCAUGUCGCGAUAGCUUGCUAAACCGCUACCAACGGAUAAAAAAAGGUGGCAGGACGAAUUGUACAUGGCCAAAACGAACGAUGGAAAAACGUUACCGAAUAUCACGAUUUUGUGCAUUUAAAGUAUUUGGUACUAAAGAAGUGCAGUAAGGUGUCUGGACGUGGAGUUGAAUAUUUUAUGCAAGACAGCAAUCCCAUUUUUUACCUGGACUUGAAAGGUUGCUCAUUGUCUGCGAAUGAUGUCGACAUUUUGAAACAGAAAGCCAUUGAAAAAUAUUGGCAGCUGAGAGUCGUUUCUGAUUCUGA